AAUUUUGGACAUGGGGGGUAACGCUGACCCAGCCAUCCCGCGUGUAUGAUGAAUACCAUCUGUUUGUAAAUAACGUUUGGCAGAGAAGAAUACGCAUCUCCUAAUACGAGAAACUGCUCUCGAUAUCUACUGUAUAUGCUCCGGCUCACUACGUGCUAGCCGCCGCGGUAAUACGUAGAGUGCAAGCGUUAAUCGGAAUUACUCGGCGUAAAGCGUGUGUAGGCGGUUCGGAAAGAAAGAUGUGAAAUCACAGGGCUCAACCUUGGAACUGCAUUUUUAACUGCCGAGCUAGAGUAUGUCAGAGGGGGGUAGAAUUCCACGUGUAGCAGUGAAAUGCGUAGAUAUGUGGAGGAAUACCGAUGGCGAAGGCAGCCCCCUGGGAUAAUACUGACGCUCAGACACGAAAGCGUGGGGAGCAAACAGG
rnacentral:rRNA from 1 species